AUUGAACGCUGGCGGCAGGCUCAACACAUGCAAGUCGAGCGGUGUGAUGGUGCUUGCACUAUCACUUAGCGGCGGACGGGCGAGUAAUGCUUAGGAAUCUGCCUAUUAGUGGGGGACAACAUCUCGAAAGGGAUGCUAAUACCGCAUACGUCCUACGGGAGAAAGCAGGGGAUCUUUAUGACCUUGCGCUAAUAGAUGAGCCUAAGUCGGAUUAGCUAGUUGGUGGGGUAAAGGCCUACCAAGGCGACGAUCUGUAGCGGGUCUGAGAGGAUGAUCCGCCACACUGGGACUGAGACACGGCCCAGACUCCUACGGGAGGCAGCAGUGGGGAAUAUUGGACAAUGGGGGGAACCCUGAUCCAGCCAUGCCGCGUGUGUGAAGAAGGCCUUAUGGUUGUAAAGCACUUUAAGCGAGGAGGAGGCUCUUUUGGUUAAUACCCAGAAUGAGUGGACGUUACUCGCAGAAUAAGCACCGGCUAACUCUGUGCCAGCCGCCGCUGUAA
rnacentral:rRNA from 1 species